AGCGAACGCUGGCGGCAGGCUUAACACAUGCAAGUCGAACGCCCCGCAAGGGGAGUGGCAGACGGGUGAGUAACACGUGGGAACGUACCCGUUGGUUCGGAAUAACUUGGGCAAACUCAAGCUAAUACCGGAUAAGCCCUAAUGGGGAAAGGCUGACUGCCGAAGGAUCGGCCCGCAUCUGAUUAGCUAGUUGGUGAGGUAAUGGGUCACCAAGGGGACGAUCAGUAGCUGGGCUGAGAGGAUGAUCAGCCACACUGGGACUGAGACACGGCCCAGACUCCUACGGGAGGCAGCAGUGGGGAAUAUUGGACAAUGGGGGCAACCCUGAUCCAGCCAUGCCGCGUGAGUGAUGAAGGCCUUAGGGUUGUAAAGCUCUUGUAACCGGGACGAUAAUGACUGUACCGGGAGAAUAAGCCCCGGCUAACUUCGUGCCAGCCGCCGCCGUAA
rnacentral:rRNA from 1 species